UACGUAGGGUGCGAGCGUUGUCCGGAAUUACUGGGCGUAAAGCGCGUGUAGGCGGUUGUUCAAGUCGGGUGUGAAAGCCUUGAGCUCAACUCAAGAAAUGCACUCGAUACUGGAUGACUAGAGGACCGGAGAGGAUAGUGGAAUUCCCAGUGUAGUGGUGAAAUACGUAGAGAUUGGGAAGAACACCAGUGGCGAAGGCGGCUAUCUGGACGGUUUCUGACGCUAAGACGCGAAAGCGUGGGGAGCAAACAGG
rnacentral:rRNA from 1 species